UACUCAGUCCAUGUUGUAAUAGCAGGUUGAAUGUGGAUACUCAGUCCAUGUUGUAAUAGCAGGUUGAAUGUGGAUACUCAGUCCAUGUUGUAAUAGCAGGUUGAAUGUGGAUACUCAGUCCAUGUUGUAAUAGCAGGUUGAAUGUGGAUACUCAGUCCAUGUUGUAAUAGCAGGUUGAAUGUGGAUACUCAGUCCAUGUUGUAAUAGCAGGUUGAAUGUGGAUACUCAGUCCAUGUUGUAAUAGCAGGUUGAAUGUGGAUACUCAGUCCAUGUUGUAAUAGCAGGUUGAAUGUGGAUACUCAGUCCAUGUUGUAAUAGCAGGUUGAAUGUGGAUACUCAGUCCAUGUUGUAAUAGCAGGUUGAAUGUGGAUACUCAGUCCAUGUUGUAAUAGCAGGUUGAAUGUGGAUACUCAGUCCAUGUUGUAAUAGCAGGUUGAAUGUGGAUACUCAGUCCAUGUUGUAAUAGCAGGUUGAAUGUGGAUACUCAGUCCAUGUUGUAAUAGCAGGUUGAAUGUGGAUACUCAGUCCAUGUUGUAAGAUGAAUAUGGAUAUUCAACCUCAAAUGUUAUUUUCUUACCACAUCAGAUUUGUCAGCGGGCACUCAGAUAUGUUUCACAACUCCCUAUGGAUCAUACAACCCAAUCAUAUUACCAUUUUAUCCCCUCUAACGUUCCUUCAGCCACUCACCAUCCUUGGUUACCCAGUAUACCACAUCUCCAUGUCUUGACGAAGGUUAAAAAAAUAAUAAUUCAGGCAAUGAGAGUUGUCAGUAGCUAGAAGACUGGCUACAAUGUCUACAACGGCUACAACACGGACACCCAAAACAUUUGGUAUGCUUAAUAUUCAGCUUGAUAUGAUUCUUUAUUACCCAUGUGGUCAAUGUAUGGGUAGUUGCAUACUAAUCUCAUAUGUCACACGAGUGUCGUAUCAUGUUGACCUGUGUCGUAACGACAUGAUAACCGAAACAUGUGAUAACCGAUGACCUCUCAAUAAGGUCACAUUCUGACGUAACUUUUCUUUCAUUGAUAACAAACACGUGAACUCAUUCAUUCUACAACUUAAAUGCAUUGCGGGAAUGUAAAUAUUGCGAAUGUUGCC